CCUACGGGAGGCAGCAGUGGGGAAUAUUGGGCAAUGGGCGCAAGCCUGACCCAGCAACGCCGCGUGAAGGAAGAAGGAUUUCGGGUUGUAAACUUCUUUUAAGAGGGAAGAGCAGAAGACGGUACCUCUUGAAUAAGCCACGGCUAACCACGUGGCAGCAGCCGCGGUAAUACGUAGGGGGCAAGCGUUGUCCGGAUUUACUGGGUGUAAAGGGCGGGGAGGCGGGCUGACAAGUCAGAUGUGAAAUCCCGUGGCUCAACCACGGAACGGCCUUUGAAACUGUCGGUCUUGAGUGUCGGAGAGGCAGGCGGAAUUCCUAGUGUAGCGGUGAAAUGCGUAGAUAUUAGGAGGAACACCAGUGGCGAAGGCGGCCUGCUGGACGACAACUGACGGUGAGGCGCGAAAGCGUGGGGAGCAAACAGGAUUAGAUACCCGGGUAGUC
rnacentral:rRNA from 1 species